rnacentral:rRNA from 1 species
GAUGAACGCUGGCGGCGUGCCUAAUACAUGCAAGUCGAGCGAACGGACGAGAAGCUUGCUUCUCUGAUGUUAGCGGCGGACGGGUGAGUAACACGUGGAUAACCUACCUAUAAGACUGGGAUAACUUCGGGAAGCCGGAGCUAAUACCGGAUAAUAUUUUGAACCGCAUGGUUCAAAAGUAAAAGACGGUCUUGCUGUCACUUAUAGAUGGAUCCGCGCUGCAUUAGCUAGUUGGUAAGGUAACGGCUUACCAAGGCAACGAUGCAUAGCCGACCUGAGAGGGUGAUCGGCCACACUGGAACUGAGACACGGUCCAGACUACUACGGGAGGCAGCAGUAGGGAAUCUUCCGCAAUGGGCGAAAGCCUGACGGAGCAACGCCGCGUGAGUGAUGAAGGUCUUCGGAUCGUAAAACUCUGUUAUUAGGGAAGAACAUAUGUGUAAGUAACUGUGCACAUCUUGACGGUACCUAAUCAGAAAGCCACGGCUAACUACGUG